CAUGGCAAAAAGAAAAAAAGAAGAAGCUCUAAACGCACUUAUUUCAUCACGCUUAGAGUUGCAAGUCUUUCUUCUCUAUCCUUCUCCAUUGACAAUAGUUCACUGAAAAAAUUUAAGGUAUGGAAGCUAGAUACAAUUGUUGCAAGGCCAUCCAUAAGGCUUUCAUAUCAAGUAAACUCAUCGGUGACCCUACUCUUGCUGGGAUAGCUGGAAAGUUGGAGGAAGCUGUGAGAAGGGGUCCAUAUCUCGCGAGAAAGCAAUAUGAAACACAACCUGUGGUGAUGACAGCCGAUAGAUUUUAGAUUCUAUAUCUUCUUCUAGGUUGACUCUGAACUGCACGGCCUUUAUAAAUUUUUGUGUGUACAAUUUGGGAUUUCCACCUCUUGGUUGACAUUCAGUGUGCAGAAACAUUUCUAGACUAAACUGAUAUCUCUUGCGGAAACAGUGCUGAGAAGAAUGUGGUUCAGCCAUCACUUAAUAUGGGAAAAACUCAUUCGUAGUUGAA